UAUUCGUUAUUUGCUUAAUAUUGCUUCAUGUAACCGUUACAACGUCGAACUUGGGUCACACUGGGAUACAUAUGAUGUACAGUAGUGCCUUCAGCGCUUUGAUUUACAGAGAGAGUUGAACUGCACGCACAAACAACAACUCGUUUCAAAUACAGGAAAGAGAAUGGUACCAAGGCUACACAAUUGCGAGAAGCUUAUUUUACCUGUGAUGUUAUUAAGAAGGGGCUUAUCUAUAAACAGAAGCUUGCCAAUACAUGAAAUUAUAUUAAUUGAGCACAGAAGAUGUUUGAGCACAGUUUAUUUAAAACGCAUUCAUGCUGCAUUCUCAACAACAAACUCCUUUUUUCAAUCAAUAGCUGGCACCAAUGGAACAGACCCGUCCCAUUUGCCAUCCAGUCAGGCAAGAGAGACCGACAACUUUGAUAGCAAGACUAAUAAUGUUGUAAAAAGCUCUGAAUCUGAUGGCUUGAAAUUGAUUUACUCAUCUCCAAAGUUGUCUGCAGCGCGAAAGGUUCAACACAGACAAAUACUUCAACUAGCACUCGCCAUAAGUGUACCAUAUUUAUGUUUCUCGUUUGGAUACCCAGUGGGUACAGUUGCACUGGUAUCUGCUGGAUUUCUAUUGCUCUCCCAGAUUUUGUCCUACUCAGCAUGGAAAGCUAGAAAAACAAUUCUGCUGAUGUACUUAGAUGAGAGAAACAAAACAGUGAAGAUGUCCUUUGUGGAUUGGAGAGGUCGCAGAGUUGAUGUUGUUAAAAAUGUCUCGGAUAUUGUCCCAGUGAUGGAUAUAGAACAAAAGUUGCUAAAGAAGAAGAUAUUUGUGGUGAAAACAUAUCAACAAGACAAAUAUUUGUUAUCUUUCGAAUCAUACACGGUAGAAGAGAAAGAUCAGUUGAAAAAAGUUAUAGGGAAUUUUUCACGUUUCAAUCAGUGAUCAUUGAGAUACUGAGGGUGUUUUUAUAUGAAAAGUUUUUGUUUUGUUACUGUGAUAAUUUGAUUUCAUUAAAUAGAAAGUAAACAGAAAAGUGAAGAUCUAAUUUUUUGUAUAUCUGUGUUCUAUUAAAUAGAAAAUUGUG